rnacentral:tRNA from 1 species
GGGGUUGUGGCUCAGCGGUAGAGCACUUGCCUUGCACAUGCAAGGCCCUGGGUUCAAUCCUAGCACCA